CAAAAGAUCGAAUGGGGAGAUUCAUCGUCAGCUUUAUCGGCUUGCGUGCUGCUCGCGAUGCUCGUUGGGUGUAGCGUUGGCAACAGCGUUGCAUUUUCUACGGGGACGCGGUGGCUGCGUAAUUUUUGUCCGGUCAAAGUCGGCGUGCACUUCUCCCCUAGUAGGACGUCGCGACCCGUUGAGUGUCGGUUUAAGGCCCGCGAGGUUGCCUGCCGGUCGAUUACCGGUGCUUUCGGGCACACGGGAUCGUCGGUAGACCCGCGGUCGCCCAACCGACUGCUCGGCGGUAAAAAAUCGUUUGAAAUCAAUGGUAUCGAGCCGCAUUUGAAUGCGUCCUUUUUGGCUCGUCGGCAGGUGANCAUCGUCUCGGAUUUACGGACCUAGCGCCGUUGUCGAGCGUUUGCUUGCCGUUACGCCGACGAUGUCCUCGGACGGGCUCUAUGGGGAGAAUUUUUUUUCUCUCCUGUUACCAGUCAGCGACGCUACUGCUUUGGGUACUUUCAGGACCCGUCUUGAAACACGGACCAAGGAGUCUAACAUGUGCGCGAGUCAUUGGGACUUGUUUAUAAUAAGCCUAAAGGCGCAAUGAAAGUGAAGGUCCGCUUUGAUGCGCGACCGAGGGAGGAUGGCCGUUUGGUUUUUUUAA
rnacentral:rRNA from 1 species